GGGAAGCAAAGUAGUGGUGGAGGAGAUAAUGAAAAUUCUCAAGGAAGCUGAAUGGAAGCCGUCACUCUUCUGGAAAUCCCUUCCAACAGAGUUUGCAGAAGACUCGCCUUACGAUCUCAUUGCAGCUGAUGGCACAAAAACACUCAACGGGGCCGAUUGGAUCAUUCACCGAGAUAUUAUGUGGGAUUAGUCUUCUCAUCAACCUCCAUUUCGUCGCCCCCCUGUUGCAGCCAUCUUUCAGAAAUCACUUGCUCAACAAUGGCAGACAUGGAAAGAACUCCAUAGAAGGCAGAAGGAAUGUAGAGAAAUAUGCAGUUCUUGAUCUGUCAUUGUUGCAAUUGCAAGCAGUAGAUAAUUUUAGGACUAAGUGGAUAGAAUGUGCCAUGUGGUCUUAGAAAUUAAUAAUAUCAUUUGUGCUGCUUCAUUUCUGUAUUGAACUCCAUGCAGAGUCAGCAAGCAAGCUCAAUUGAUGUAGCCAAAAG
rnacentral:misc_RNA from 1 species